rnacentral:rRNA from 1 species
CACGUAGGCGGAUUUGUAAGUCAGGGGUGAAAUCCCGGGGCUCAACCUCGGAACUGCCUUUGAUACUGCAAAUCUCGAGUCCGGAAGAGGUGAGUGGAAUUCCUAGUGUAGAGGUGAAAUUCGUAGAUAUUAGGAAGAACACCAGUGGCGAAGGCGGCUCACUGGUCCGGUACUGACGCUGAGGUGCGAAAGCGUGGGGAGCAAACAG